GAGGCGAUGUAACGGAUAUUUAUUGAUCCAUUUGUUGACGAUGAUACCUUGUCCUAUGGGAUUAGAGGUGAUGAUUUCAUAUGGUUGGAAGGCCAUAUGUCCGUCUUAGUUGCGGAGACUGGGUGAGGCACGGAAGUGAGCAACCUUACCGCGAACUGCUGAUGCUCAAAGGGUAAACGGGGUUGAGAAUGCAGGUGGGAAGUCAUUAAGUAUUACGUGCACCCACUC
rnacentral:SRP_RNA from 1 species